AACGCACAUUGCGCCCGCUAGUAUUCUGGCGGGCAUGCCUGUUCGAGCGUCAUUUCAACCCCUCGGGCCCCACGGGCCCGGCGUCGGGGGCACCGCCCGCGAGGGCGGCCCCUUAGAGACAUUGGCGGACCCCCCGCGGAAUCCGAGCGCAGUAACUACCAUUCUCGCUGUGGAGGACCGGGCCGGCGCCCUGCCGUAAAACCCCCAACAUAUCCAAAGGUUGACCUCGGAUCAGGUAGGAAUACCCGCUGAACUUAA
rnacentral:misc_RNA from 1 species